UACGUAGGUGGCAAGCGUUGUCCGGAAUUAUUGGGCGUAAAGCGCGCGCAGGCGGUCCUUUAAGUCUGAUGUGAAAGCCCACGGCUCAACCGUGGAGGGUCAUUGGAAACUGGGGGACUUGAGUGCAGGAGAGAAGAGUGGAAUUCCACGUGUAGCGGUGAAAUGCGUAGAUAUCUGGAGGAACACCGGUGGCGAAGGCGGCAUCCUGGACCGGCAUUGACGCUGAGGAGCGAAAGCCAGGGGAGCAAACGGG
rnacentral:rRNA from 1 species